rnacentral:rRNA from 1 species
AUACGGAGGAUCCGAGCGUUAUCCGGAUUUAUUGGGUUUAAAGGGAGCGUAGGCGGAGGAUCAAGUCAGCUGUGAAAUGUAGACGCUCAACGUCUGCACUGCAGUUGAAACUGGUCCCCUUGAGUGCGUAAGGGGCAGGCGGAAUUCGUCGUGUAGCGGUGAAAUGCUUAGAUAUGACGAAGAACUCCGAUAGCGAAGGCAGCUUGCCGGGCCGCAACUGACGCUGAAGCUCGAAGGUGCGGGUAUCGAACAGGAUUAGAUACCCUGGUAGUCCGCACAGUAAACGAUGGAUACUCGCUGUCGGCGAUAUACGGUCGGUGGCCAAGCGAAAGCGUUAAGUAUCCCACCUGGGGAGUACGCCGGCAACGGUGAAACUCAAAUGAAUUGGCGGGG